UGGGGAAUAUUGCACAAUGGGGGAAACCCUGAUGCAGCGACGCCGCGUGAGCGAAGAAGGCUUUCGAGUCGUAAAGCUCUGUCCUAUGAGAAGAUAAUGACGGUAUCAUAGGAGGAAGCCCUGGCUAAAUACGUGCCAGCAGCCGCGGUAAUACGUAUGGGGCGAGCGUUGUCCGGAAUUAUUGGGCGUAAAGGGUACGUAGGCGGUUUUUUAAGUCAGGUGUCAAAGCGUGGAGCUUAACUCCAUUAAGCACUUGAAACUGAAAGACUUGAGUGAAGGAGAGGAAAGUGGAAUUCCUAGUGUAGCGGUGAAAUGCGUAGAUAUUAGGAGGAAUACCGGUGGCGAAUGCGACUUUCUGGACUUUUACUGACGCUCAGGUACGAAAGCGUGGGGAGCAAACAGG
rnacentral:rRNA from 1 species